GUGUCCUACGGGGGGCAGCAGUCGGGAAUAUUGCGCAAUGGAGGAAACUCUGACGCAGUGACGCCGCGUGCAGGAAGAAGGUUUUCGGAUUGUAAACUGCUUUAGACAGGGAAGAAACAAGACAGUACCUGUAGAAUAAGCUCCGGCUAACUACGUGCCAGCAGCCGCGGUAAUACGUAGGGAGCAAGCGUUAUCCGGAUUUACUGGGUGUAAAGGGAGCGUAGACGGUGCAGCAAGUCUGAUGUGAAAGGUCGGGGCCCAACCCCGGGACUGCAUUGGAAACUGUUGAACUGGAGUACAGGAGG
rnacentral:rRNA from 1 species